CAGCAGCCACGGGAAUACGUAGGGAGCAAGCGUUGUUCGGAUUUACUGGGCGUAAAGGGCGCGUAGGCGGCGCGGUAAGUCACUUGUGAAAUCUCUGAGCUUAACUCAGAACGGCUAAGUGAUACUGCUGUGCUAGAGUGCGGAAGAGGCAACCGGAAUUCUUGGUGUAGCGGUGAAAUGCGUAGAUAUCAAGAGGAACACCUGAGGCGAAGGCGGGUUGCUGGGCCGACACUGACGCUGAUGCGCGAAAGCCAGGGGAGCAAACGGGAUUAGAUACCCCUGUAGUCCCUGUCUCUUAUAC
rnacentral:rRNA from 1 species